GUGCUUGCUUCGGCAGCACAUAUACUAGAACUGGAACGGUACAGAGAAUAUUAGCAUGGCCCCUGUGCAAGUAUGACAGGCAAAUUCAUGAAGCAGUCCAUAUUUUU
ensembl:snRNA U6 U6 spliceosomal RNA